AACGUAGGUGGCAAGCGUUAUCCGGAAUUACUGGGCGUAAAGGGUGUGCAGGCGGGGAAGCAAGUGGUGUAUGAAAUAUCCCAGCUUAACUGGGAGGGGUUAUGCCAGACUGCUUUUCUAGAGGACGAGAGAGGGGGGUGGAAUUCCGGGUGUAGUGGUGAAAUGCGUAGAGAUCCGGAGGAACCCCAGAGGCGAAGGCGGCCCCCUGGCUCGUACCUGAUGCUCAGCCACGAAAGCAUGGGGAGCGAACGGG
rnacentral:rRNA from 1 species